UUCUUAGUGGCGAACGGGUGAGUAACACGUUGGUGACCUACCCCAAAGUGUGGGAUAACAGUCCGAAAGGAUUGCUAAUACCGCAUGUGGUUAUCGGAUUUAGAAACUGAUAACAAAAGCAGUAAUGCGCUUUGGGAGGGACCUGCGUCCCAUCAGCUAGUUGGUGAGGUAACGGCCCACCAAGGCUACGACGGGUAAGGGACCUGAGAGGGUGGUCCCUCACAAUGGCACUGAAACACGGGCCAUACACCUACGGGUGGCAGCAGUAGGGAAUAUUGGGCAAUGGGCGAAAGCCUGACCCAGCAACGCCGCGUGCACGAUGAAGGCCUUCGGGUCGUAAAGUGCUUUUCUGAGAGAUGAGAAAGGACAGUAUCUCAGGAAUAAGCCUCGGCUAACUACGUGCCAGCAGCCGCGGUAAAGCGUAGGAGGCGAGCGUUAUCCGGAUUUACUGGGCGUAAAGCGCGUGUAGGCGGUUCGGCAAGUUGGAUGUGAAAUCUCCCGGCUCAACUGGGAGGGGUCGUUCAAAACUACCGGACUUGAGGACAGUAGAGGAAGGUGGAAUUCCCGGUGUAGUGGUGAAAUGCGUAGAUAUCGGGAGGAACACCAGUGGCGAGAGCGGCCUUCUGGACUGGUCCUGACGCUGAGACGCGAAAGCUAGGGUAGCGAACGGGAUUAGAGACCCCGGUAGUCCUAGCCGUAAACGAUGUAGACUUGGCGUCGGUGGGUUCAAAGCCAUCGGUGCCGAAGCUAACGCGAUAAGUCUACCGCCUGGGGACUACGGCCGCAAGGUUAAAACUCAAAGGAAUUGACGGGGGCCCGCACAAGCAGCGGAGCGUGUGGUUUAAUUCGAUUUACACGAAGAACCUUACCCAGGUUUGACAUGUUGGUGGUAGGAAAUCGAAAGAUGACCGACCCUUCGGGGAGCCUUCACAGGUGCUGCAUGGCUGUCGUCAGCUCGUGUCGUGAGAUGUUCGGUUAAGUCCGCUAACGAGCGCAACCCUCGCUACGUGUUAUAUGUGUCACGUGGGACCGCCGGUAUCAAGCCGGAGGAAGGUGGGGAUGACGUCAAGUCAGCAUGGCCUUUAUGUCUGGGGCUACACACACGCUACAAUGGCCGGUACAAUGGGUUGCUAAGCCGCGAGGUAGAGCCAAUCCCCAAAGCCGGUCUCAGUUCAGAUCACAGGCUGCAACCCGCCUGUGUGAAGUCGGAGUUGCUAGUAAACGCGCGUCAGCCAUAGUGCGUUGAAUACGUUCUCGGGCCUUGUACACACCGCCCGUCACGUCAUGGGAGCUGGUAACACCUGAAGCCGGUAGCCUAACCGUAAGGAGGGCGCUGUCGAAGGUGGUGCUGGUGACUGGGACGAAGUCGUAACAAGGUA
rnacentral:rRNA from 1 species